rnacentral:misc_RNA from 1 species
GAUGAAGAACGUAGCAAAAUGCGAUAAGUAAUGUGAAUUGCAGAAUUCAGUGAAUCAUCGAAUCUUUGAACGCACAUUGCGCCCGCCAGUAUUCUGGCGGGCAUGCCUGUUCGAGCGUCAUUACGCCCCUCAAGUCCCCUGUGGACUUGGUGUUGGGGAUCGGCGAGGCUGGUUUUCCAGCACAGCCGUCCCUUAAAUUAAUUGGCGGUCUCGCCGUGGCCCUCCUCUGCGCAGUAGUAAAACACUCGCAACAGGAGCCCGGCGCGGUCCACUGCCGUAAAACCCCCCAACUUUUUAUAGUUGACCUCGAAUCAGGUAGGACUACCCGCUGAACUUAAGCAUAUCAAUAAGCGGAGGA